rnacentral:rRNA from 1 species
UGGUAGUGUAUUGGACAACCAUGGCAGUAACGGGUAACGGAGAAUUAGGGUUCGGUUCCGGAGAGGGAGCCUGAGAAACGGCUACCACAUCUAAGGAAGGCAGCAGGCGCGUAAAUUACCCAAUUCAGACUCUGGGAGGUAGUGACAAUACAUAACAACUCGGGGCCCUCACGGGGUUACGGGAUUGCAAUGAGCACAAAUUAAAACCCUUAGCGAGGAACAAGUGGAGGGCAAGUUUGGUGCCAGCAGCCGCGGUAAUUCCAGCUCCAAUAGCGUAUAUUAAAGUUGUUGCAGUUAAAAAGCUUGUAGUUGAACUUUUGGCUGCGCACGGUUUCGGAAGCGAUUUCGGACCGGUUGUCUGCAGCCAUCCGUCUGCGAACUGUUGCGGCCUUCACUGGCUUGCUUCAGGGAACAGACCCUUUACUUUGAAAAAAUUAGAGUGUUUAAGGCAGGCUCCGCGCCUGAAUACAUUAGCAUGGAAUAAUGGAAUAGGACGCUUGUCCGUUUGAUUGGUUAUCGGACUGGCGUAAUGAUUAAUAGGGACAGUUGGGGGCAUUAGUAUUUAAUUGUCAGAGGUGAAAUUCUUGGAUUUAUUAAAGACUAACUUA